UACAGAGGUCUCAAGCGUUGUUCGGAAUCACUGGGCGUAAAGGGUGCGUAGGCCGCACGGUAAGUCAGAGGUGAAAUCCCGGGGCUCAACCUCGGAAUUGCCUCCGAUACUGCCGUGCUUGAGGACUGGAGAGGAGAUUGGAAUUCACAGUGGAGCAGUGAAAUGCGUAGAUAUUGUGAGGAACACUAGUGGCGAAGGCGAAUCUCUGGACAGUUCCUGACGCUGAGGCACGAAGGCCAGGGGAGCAAACGGG
rnacentral:rRNA from 1 species